rnacentral:rRNA from 1 species
UACGUAGGUGGCAAGCGUUAUCCGGAAUUACUGGGCGUAAAGCGCACGCAGGCGGUCUUUUAAGUUUGACGUGAAAGCUCCCGGCUUAACUGGGAGAGGUCGUUGAAGACUGGAAGACUUGAGGCAAUGAGAGGGGUGUAGAAUUCCCGGUGUAGUGGUGGAAUGCGUAGAUAUUGGGAGGAACACCAGUGGCGAAGGCGGCUCACUGGACCGGUACUGACGCUGAUGCGCGAAAGCGUGGGGAGCAAACGGG